UAAUCGUCAGCAGGCGGGAGCAGCUUUUGCACUUGCUGGUCUGGAGCGUUUAGGUGUGCAUUAAGGAAAUGCCUCAGUCUUCUCAGAAGAGGAUGGCCCAGCACAUUUACGCCAAGGAACAUCCCUAAUGUGAUUGGUUUUCCAGCAGAGGGCGACCUGACCCCAGUCCAAAUAUUGCUUGUAUCUCAUGUAGAAUAGUGUCAUCCUCCCUGAGCAGACAGAGCUACUGUCUUUGGCUCCUUCAUGUUGCCAAGUAAACAACGACCCAAUCGUUUUGCAAGUUCAGUGUAAAUCUUAACCCCGUCUCUCCCAAAUGUUGUGUUACUCAUGCAUAUUCAGAUUAUUUGUCAAUAUAUUCAAACCAAGAUUGGUAUCAGGAAUCUCAAAUCCAUAAUUGUUAAAGCAGCAGUACGCUGGUAUGUUUGAAGGAGUAUUAUAUAUAGCAGGAAAAAAAUCUUUUACAUUUUGAGACUAUUGAGUUUAACUUCAGUUGAAGCAUUUUUGAAAAUGAAGCCAAAAUAUCCAAAUGUUUUUUUGUUUUUUUUGUCAUUUUCAUUUUUUAAAUAUUUUUAAAAAUUGAAUAACCUGAUUUUAAUAGUUGUCUUUUGUGCCUUGCAUUUAGUUUUGCUUCCUUGUCUUGUCCUAAUUAGUUUCAGCUGUGUCUUGUUUCCCUGGUGUUUCCAAUCUCCUCAUGUGUAUUUAAAUCUUUAGUUUUCCUUCAGUUUUUGUCAGUGUCUGUCUGUUCCUUGUCUGUUUUAUUAACAUAUUCUAAAGUUUGGAUGUUGUUUCACUCGGUCUGCUACACUUAACUUAAUUAAAGCUUUGUUUUUGAUUAUUUGUUUGGCUGUCAGUCCUACAUCUGGGCCAUCCAUAGCACCCUAAUGAAAAAAGUGCCUCUGACAUUCUUUCUUAGGUAGUCUAUAUUUAGGACUGAGUGCUAAAAUAAUUCACCCAUCAGUUGAGUAAAUGUCUGUAACAGUGGAAAAUAUGGUAAAGUUCCAAAUUAAGUGGAAAAACUGAGAUGGCUAUUUUUGUUAACACCUCCUCCUCUGGUCUCUAUCAUUCUGAUGUAAUACUUUUCAUGUUGUCCCUCACCAAAACAAACACAUUUUUUUUUUAAAAAAAAAGCCCACAAUGUGCACACUUUAAUGUACAGAAUUCACAAUGAGGAGAACAUCAAAACUACAGUAUGCAGGGAGUAGCUCAUCAUUAAAACAACAAAACUCCUGAGAUACAACAGGAAAACACAUGUAAACAAUAACCCAGUUAUUAAACUUCAGUACAUUAACAGAUCUACAACCAAGUAACAACACAGCAUAUCAGAUGAAUUGUAUCAUUUAUUUACAUAAGAAAAAAAAAACAGGCGAUAAAAUAAAAAAUGAACAGGACAAGAAAACUAAGUUUCCAUUUGGUUAAAUCAACUUUCUCAGUUUGUUUUACUUGAAGACGUUAACUUCAUUAAAAUAUUCUGAGGCACCAUAAAAUCACUACAAGCACAUUUUCUAUUUAAACACACAGCCCAUUAAGUAGGAGGCCUGUACUACUGAAUAACUUCAGCUUACUGUAUCUGCCUUCAUUUACAAUAACACUGCAAUCGAAGGUAAUUAUAAACUGGAUAAGCCCACAGGGUUUCCCACUGUAGCUAUUAGCAUCUUCACAGGACAGCAUAUGACCAAUGACACAUGUGGACAGAUCUACCACUUUGAAAAAGUUGAAAAGAUCAUUAUACCAGCAGCAAAACGCCAUGUUUUAUUAAGGAAAAGUCUGGAGAGUUAAAGGCUCUACUUGUGAUUAUUACGAUCUACCCUGUUUCCGUUACCAACAACAGAUGCAUUAUAAUGUUCUAAUGUAAUUAAUUAUGAAUUAAUUUGUGUGCAAAAAGACGUUAAUCUUGCUGCACUAGGUUUGUUGGCAAAACAUCACCGUGCAGUAAUUAAAAGAUGAAAAUUACAAUAAAAUUAAGCCUAUAAUGUUUUUGUUUUUUAAAAAAACAAAACAUAUUUCCAUACAACUUUCAUCCUUACCAUUUGAUUUUGCAAAAAAAUAAAGAAACUAUCAAAAAUUGUAGGAGAAGAUGAUUCACGGUAGGACAUAUUUUUCAGAUUUAAAAAAAUCACAAUGGCACAUAAAUAUCCGGCUGGACUUUAUGAACCUUCAAGUGACUGUAAACCCAGUUUACUGGCCAAAGGACUGAAUUAAUUAGGCCUCAGGCAGGCAGGCUUAGAGAUCAGUCAGCAUCACCCACGGCAACCACAGGCCACUCGGUAAAAAUGUAUUCUCUGACCAGUUGGCGAUGGUUUGCUGGAAGUUGCUGGCUGUUAGGUGAAAGUGGUUGCAAUGAGGUGUAUAGGGUGCUGCAUUUAAAACCUUGUGAUUACUAUGGUUACUGUGGCCAGUUUGCAUGAAGGACGCCAACUUGCCUACAAACUCUGUGAAAAGGGUGAUAUAAGCUGUUCUGCUUCAAAGUAAAAGUUACACGUUUAAGGUGCAACGUCCCUCAUUGAGCAUUUGCAGACAAUUUAGCAUCUUCAGUGCAAACUACGGAUGAACAAAGAACUUCAUCCGAGAGUGAGAUUUCUGAUCCAACACCUUUGCAACCAAAUUCACAAAGCAGCCCCUCCUCAGUUGGUUGGAGAUUACAUAUUUUUCCCUCAGCGAGCUUUAGCUGCCGGUAAGUACAAGGAUUUAGUGCCCUGUAAAAUUGCUAGACAGAAAAAAUCAGGAAUGAAAUUGUUCCUCAAGAUCUGAUUUUCUUAUUGAUGCUCGUCGUGGAAAGACAAGAACUAUGAGUAAAAAUAAUUAGUUGGAGGGCUCUUCCAGAAAUAGUGGUGCUUUUUUUCAGGAAGUGAUGAGUCCCAAACGUAACGUGCUCUGGAGCAGGUUAGGUCUGUAUCAUCUGGCUUUGGUAAGAUGAGAACUGGCUUCCUGACUCCAUAUAAACUAGACAUAAGCCUGAAGUUACCUUGCUAAGUCCCAAAUCCAGCGUCACAGUACAGGCCUCGAGACAUGAAGAUGCACACUUUCUCUCUUUCUUUUUUCUUUUU